AUUAUUUAAAAGUAGUAAUUUAUGUUUUGCUAAACAAAUAUUGUAUAAUUUUAUUCAAAUUUGUUAGCAGACGUGUAUCUUAUAUAAUAAAGUUGGCUUGAGUCUCUCCUUAAGGUGUCCACAUCAGCAGGAAGGGAUGGGCAUUUUCUUCCACGUGGCAACUUAAGAAAUAACUCUUUUCUUUAUGUUCGUUUGUGGCUUUGUACAAACCCGACCUUUCAUAUUUUCUCUCUCUAGCCGACUGCAAAAUUAGAUCGUCACCAGUUACAAAUCAAAGACAACGCCCACUUCUUCCACUAUCUUAUCAUUUACUCUCCUCUUCAAGUUAGUACUCGAUUAAUAUUCUCAUUUUUAUAUAUCUUCUGCCUCUUCAAAAUUUCUAUAAGAGUAGUUGAGGGAUUCGAUUGUUGAGAUCCUGAAGAAUCCUGAAGAACCUAAAAGGAUUUUUGUAACUACGACGGCACUAAUCCGAAGGCAGAGAAUUGUUUGGAGAUGGAAGAAACAUGGGGAAAAAGAUCCAAUUUUUAUUUUUUUCUGUUACUAAACGCCAAGUUGUUUGGUGGUAGAGGAGGACAUCUACUCUGCUUUGCUGUUUAGAAUCAAUCUGAAUCUGAAUCUCCUCACGUCUUCUAGCAGGUUUUUUUUUUGCCUCUUCAAUUCUAUUAUAAUCUUCAGUUUGGUCAAUGCUUCGAUAGAUUUAACAGUUGAAGAAACCCUCCAAUGAAGUUGUAUGGACAGUUUUCUUUUUUAUUACAUAACCAAAGUUGCAAGCUUCUGUUUCUGUUUGUAUAUCUUGCAAUUACCAUCAUUUUAUUCAUGUAGGCCUCUUAGGCUAUACACUUAGAUGAUUUCUUCUCCUUUUGAUUCCGAAGGCUUUAGGACUGAGAGCCUGAAGUUGUGAUUGCACCAAAUUUGCAGCUUUAGAUGUUGUUAUCUCCGUUCUUUAAAUAUUGUAUGGCAAUGUCAUCGGAGAUUUCAUCAAUAUUUUUGGAAGUGUUGCUAUUAAUUUUGGCACAAACCUUCUCAAACUGAGACAUAAUAAGGUCUGCAUUUGCCUCUCCUUCUGAGCCUUACUUUGUUGAUUUUGUGAAUUAUCAAGGAGAGAGGUUAGCUUUCAGGAUAAUGGUGGAGGAGAGACACCAUUGAUGUGGCUUAUAAAGUUUCAGACAUGGAGACUUAAUAGCAUCUGUUGAUGAUAUUAAAAUGCCAAGAAAAUAAUAAUAAUAAAGGAUGAUAAGAAGUGUAGAACCGGCCGUAUGUGUGACAUGCUUAUCAUAGCAACUUCGCGUUCCUUGCCAAAUUCAUCUUCUCUCUUAACAACCAUUGUCGGCAAUUGAGUGGCAAGGAGAGAGAAGACGUUAAGGUUGACGUCAUACCUCAGCUAAAGUUCAUAAAUAAAAUGAAACAUAACUUUCUUAUCUUUUUUUACUUCAUGGUCAAUGAGUACGAAGUCAGCUGGUAAGUUUGAAUUUUUCACUUGCAACUUUUAAGAUUUUCUGGAACUAUUUCUUGAUGUUCUUGGAACUACUUGCAGUGAUGGUAUGAAGGGCUACUUGACUCCGUGCUUAGGGGAGACUAACCCACCUAUAUUCAGGUCCCCAGCGAAGGGUAUGGAAGACAUCUUGAACAAAAAGUCAUGUGAGAUCACGGACCUAGAUCAGAGGUUUAUUCUAACUUUUAAAGGAUCAGCUUGGCAACUUUCUCAGUCUCUCUCGCUCUCUUACUUCUACUACAAUUAGCUGUGUUUCCUUUUCAUCUUCCUCUCUUGAGAUUCUCUCCAUAUGUAUUCUGGUUACGUUUGCCAUCUCUGACACCCAUGCAACGCCGUAUGCCGAGAUUAUGAUUUGGCUUUCCAGGCGAAGAAUAUUUUCUUCUGGUGUUUGGUCUGAGAGUGAACACUAUGGAGUCAAUAUCCGCAACUUCUUAAAUGAUUGCUUUGAAGACAGAAUCAAUACAACAUCUAAAGGUUUCAAUCGUUGCAGCAUUUUUUUAAUAGCGUAUGGGAAAUUUUUGCGGUUUCUAAGUCGAUGAAAAGAUCGUCCUGAUGUUAUGUUAUACUUAUGUUUAUAUUUAAAUUUUGCUGACAUUAUAUUAAACAUAUUACAGGACAAGUUCAUAGGUCUAUUGAACAAUUACUUUAUAUUCACUUAAACAAAACUUUCUAGAUAAAUAUUCUAAUUUUAUUCAUAUAUAUAUACUUUCCAAAUAUCAAAAACAUAUAUUGUUACCUUAUAUCCAACAUAAAAAGUUAAAUAAAAUUUUAUACUCAAUAGUAUGUUUCAGAUAUAAUAAAAUUUAUCUGAUUUAUUACUAAUAUUACAAAUAAAAUAAAAAUACAUAUUUAAAUAAUCUGUAUGUAAAACUAAUCAUUCAUCUGUUAAAAUUCAGAAAAGCGUUUAUGCACUUUUCUGGUAUAUCUAAACUGGCGAAAUUGUAAAAUUUUUUUUUUUUUUAACUCAUAGUAGCAUUCCAUUAGAUGGUAGUACGAGGACGAGGCGAGGCUCAGUCCAAACGGAUAGGAGCACUGAUUAGUUUCAUAAAAACUUACUUAUAUCAGAAAGUUUAAAUUCUAAAAAAACAUUAAAUUCUCAUUGAAGAGGUUAUGAGAACAAAAACAAAAAGGCUACAAAACUACAAAUUCACUACUUAUUGCAUGUAUCUAUUUUACUACUUCCAUAAAAAAAGAAGAAUGAUAUUUCAAAAGAAGCAUAUAAUAGAGUACUAUUAAACAAGUUUUUUUUUGCUAACAACUACUAUUAAACAAGUUGACUAAAAGCAUAAGCAAAAACAAAAUUGAUAAUCUAAAGAAAACAAAUAUAUGAAGGGAUGGGCAUUAUAAUCUUAUAUAAUAAAGUUGGCUUGAGUCUCUCCUUAAGGUGUCCACAUCAGCAGGAAGGGAUGGGCAUUUUCUUCCACGUGGCAACUUAAGAAAUAACUCUUUUCUUUAUGUUCGUUUGUGGCUUUGUACAAACCCGACCUUUCAUAUUUUCUCUCUCUAGCCGACUGCAAAAUUAGAUCGUCACCAGUUACAAAUCAAAGACAACGCCCACUUCUUCCACUAUCUUAUCAUUUACUCUCCUCUUCAAGUUAGUACUCGAUUAAUAUUCUCAUUUUUAUAUAUCUUCUGCCUCUUCAAAAUUUCUAUAAGAGUAGUUGAGGGAUUCGAUUGUUGAGAUCCUGAAGAAUCCUGAAGAACCUAAAAGGAUUUUUGUAACUACGACGGCACUAAUCCGAAGGCAGAGAAUUGUUUGGAGAUGGAAGAAACAUGGGGAAAAAGAUCCAAUUUUUAUUUUUUUCUGUUACUAAACGCCAAGUUGUUUGGUGGUAGAGGAGGACAUCUACUCUGCUUUGCUGUUUAGAAUCAAUCUGAAUCUGAAUCUCCUCACGUCUUCUAGCAGGUUUUUUUUUUGCCUCUUCAAUUCUAUUAUAAUCUUCAGUUUGGUCAAUGCUUCGAUAGAUUUAACAGUUGAAGAAACCCUCCAAUGAAGUUGUAUGGACAGUUUUCUUUUUUAUUACAUAACCAAAGUUGCAAGCUUCUGUUUCUGUUUGUAUAUCUUGCAAUUACCAUCAUUUUAUUCAUGUAGGCCUCUUAGGCUAUACACUUAGAUGAUUUCUUCUCCUUUUGAUUCCGAAGGCUUUAGGACUGAGAGCCUGAAGUUGUGAUUGCACCAAAUUUGCAGCUUUAGAUGUUGUUAUCUCCGUUCUUUAAAUAUUGUAUGGCAAUGUCAUCGGAGAUUUCAUCAAUAUUUUUGGAAGUGUUGCUAUUAAUUUUGGCACAAACCUUCUCAAACUGAGACAUAAUAAGGUCUGCAUUUGCCUCUCCUUCUGAGCCUUACUUUGUUGAUUUUGUGAAUUAUCAAGGAGAGAGGUUAGCUUUCAGGAUAAUGGUGGAGGAGAGACACCAUUGAUGUGGCUUAUAAAGUUUCAGACAUGGAGACUUAAUAGCAUCUGUUGAUGAUAUUAAAAUGCCAAGAAAAUAAUAAUAAUAAAGGUAUCAAUCUUCCAUUCCAAUGUUUUAGUAAUUACCUUCAGUGAAGGCUCAGUUUUCAUUUACGCAGGAUGAUAAGAAGUGUAGAACCGGCCGUAUGUGUGACAUGCUUAUCAUAGCAACUUCGCGUUCCUUGCCAAAUUCAUCUUCUCUCUUAACAACCAUUGUCGGCAAUUGAGUGGCAAGGAGAGAGAAGACGUUAAGGUUGACGUCAUACCUCAGCUAAAGUUCAUAAAUAAAAUGAAACAUAACUUUCUUAUCUUUUUUUACUUCAUGGUCAAUGAGUACGAAGUCAGCUGGUAAGUUUGAAUUUUUCACUUGCAACUUUUAAGAUUUUCUGGAACUAUUUCUUGAUGUUCUUGGAACUACUUGCAGUGAUGGUAUGAAGGGCUACUUGACUCCGUGCUUAGGGGAGACUAACCCACCUAUAUUCAGGUCCCCAGCGAAGGGUAUGGAAGACAUCUUGAACAAAAAGUCAUGUGAGAUCACGGACCUAGAUCAGAGGUUUAUUCUAACUUUUAAAGGAUCAGCUUGGCAACUUUCUCAGUCUCUCUCGCUCUCUUACUUCUACUACAAUUAGCUGUGUUUCCUUUUCAUCUUCCUCUCUUGAGAUUCUCUCCAUAUGUAUUCUGGUUACGUUUGCCAUCUCUGACACCCAUGCAACGCCGUAUGCCGAGAUUAUGAUUUGGCUUUCCAGGCGAAGAAUAUUUUCUUCUGGUGUUUGGUCUGAGAGUGAACACUAUGGAGUCAAUAUCCGCAACUUCUUAAAUGAUUGCUUUGAAGACAGAAUCAAUACAACAUCUAAAGGUUUCAAUCGUCGCAGCAUUUUUUUAAUAGCGUAUGGGAAAUUUUUGCGGUUUCUAAGUCGAUGAAAAGAUCGUCCUGAUGUUAUGUUAUACUUAUGUUUAUAUUUAAAUUUUGCUGACAUUAUAUUAAACAUAUUACAGGACAAGUUCAUAGGUCUAUUGAACAAUUACUUUAUAUUCACUUAAACAAAACUUUCUAGAUAAAUACUCUAAUUUUAUUCAUAUAUAUAUAUACUUUCCAAAUAUCAAAAACAUAUAUUGUUACCUUAUAUCCAACAUAAAAAGUUAAAUAAAAUUUUAUACUCAAUAGUAUGUUUCAGAUAUAAUAAAAUUUAUCUGAUUUAUUACUAAUAUUACAAAUAAAAUAAAAAUACAUAUUUAAAUAAUCUGUAUGUAAAACUAAUCAUUCAUCUGUUAAAAUUCAGAAAAGCGUUUAUGCACUUUUCUGGUAUAUCUAAACUGGCGAAAUUGUAAAAUUUUUUUUUUUUUUAACUCAUAGUAGCAUUCCAUUAGAUGGUAGUACGAGGACGAGGCGAGGCUCAGUCCAAACGGAUAGGAGCACUGAUUAGUUUCAUAAAAACUUACUUAUAUCAGAAAGUUUAAAUUCUAAAAAAACAUUAAAUUCUCAUUGAAGAGGUUAUGAGAACAAAAACAAAAAGGCUACAAAACUACAAAUUCACUACUUAUUGCAUGUAUCUAUUUUACUACUUCCAUAAAAAAAGAAGAAUGAUAUUUCAAAAGAAGCAUAUAAUAGAGUACUAUUAAACAAGUUUUUUUUUGCUAACAACUACUAUUAAACAAGUUGACUAAAAGCAUAAGCAAAAACAAAAUUGAUAAUCUAAAGAAAACAAAUAUAUGAAGGGAUGGGCAUUAUAAUCUUAUAUAAUAAAGUUGGCUUGAGUCUCUCCUUAAGGUGUCCACAUCAGCAGGAAGGGAUGGGCAUUUUCUUCCACGUGGCAACUUAAGAAAUAACUCUUUUCUUUAUGUUCGUUUGUGGCUUUGUACAAACCCGACCUUUCAUAUUUUCUCUCUCUAGCCGACUGCAAAAUUAGAUCGUCACCAGUUACAAAUCAAAGACAACGCCCACUUCUUCCACUAUCUUAUCAUUUACUCUCCUCUUCAAGUUAGUACUCGAUUAAUAUUCUCAUUUUUAUAUAUCUUCUGCCUCUUCAAAAUUUCUAUAAGAGUAGUUGAGGGAUUCGAUUGUUGAGAUCCUGAAGAAUCCUGAAGAACCUAAAAGGAUUUUUGUAACUACGACGGCACUAAUCCGAAGGCAGAGAAUUGUUUGGAGAUGGAAGAAACAUGGGGAAAAAGAUCCAAUUUUUAUUUUUUUCUGUUACUAAACGCCAAGUUGUUUGGUGGUAGAGGAGGACAUCUACUCUGCUUUGCUGUUUAGAAUCAAUCUGAAUCUGAAUCUCCUCACGUCUUCUAGCAGGUUUUUUUUUUGCCUCUUCAAUUCUAUUAUAAUCUUCAGUUUGGUCAAUGCUUCGAUAGAUUUAACAGUUGAAGAAACCCUCCAAUGAAGUUGUAUGGACAGUUUUCUUUUUUAUUACAUAACCAAAGUUGCAAGCUUCUGUUUCUGUUUGUAUAUCUUGCAAUUACCAUCAUUUUAUUCAUGUAGGCCUCUUAGGCUAUACACUUAGAUGAUUUCUUCUCCUUUUGAUUCCGAAGGCUUUAGGACUGAGAGCCUGAAGUUGUGAUUGCACCAAAUUUGCAGCUUUAGAUGUUGUUAUCUCCGUUCUUUAAAUAUUGUAUGGCAAUGUCAUCGGAGAUUUCAUCAAUAUUUUUGGAAGUGUUGCUAUUAAUUUUGGCACAAACCUUCUCAAACUGAGACAUAAUAAGGUCUGCAUUUGCCUCUCCUUCUGAGCCUUACUUUGUUGAUUUUGUGAAUUAUCAAGGAGAGAGGUUAGCUUUCAGGAUAAUGGUGGAGGAGAGACACCAUUGAUGUGGCUUAUAAAGUUUCAGACAUGGAGACUUAAUAGCAUCUGUUGAUGAUAUUAAAAUGCCAAGAAAAUAAUAAUAAUAAAGGAUGAUAAGAAGUGUAGAACCGGCCGUAUGUGUGACAUGCUUAUCAUAGCAACUUCGCGUUCCUUGCCAAAUUCAUCUUCUCUCUUAACAACCAUUGUCGGCAAUUGAGUGGCAAGGAGAGAGAAGACGUUAAGGUUGACGUCAUACCUCAGCUAAAGUUCAUAAAUAAAAU